GAUGAAGAACGUAGUGAAAUGCGAUACGUAAUGUGAAUUGCAGAAUUCAGUGAAUCAUCGAAUCUUUGAACGCACAUUGCGCCCCCUGGUAUUCCGGGGGGCAUGCCUGUUCGAGCGUCAUUACAACCCUCAAGCUCUGCUUGGUGUUGGGCCCCGCCGCCCCGGCGGGCCCUAAAAUCAGUGGCGGUGCCGUCCGGCUCCGAGCGUAGUAAUUCUUCUCGCUCUGGAGGUCCGGGUGUGUGCUCGCCAGCAACCCCCAAUUUUUUUCAGGUUGACCUCGGAUCAGGUAGGGAUACCCGCUGAACUUAAGCAUAUCAAUAAGCGGAGGA
rnacentral:misc_RNA from 1 species